UGGUCAUUUAGAGGAAGUAAAAGUCGUAACAAGGUUUCCGUAGGUGAACCUGCGGAAGGAUCAUUACUGAUUUGCUUAAUUGCACCACAUGUGUUUUUCUUUGAAACAAACUUGCUUUGGCGGUGGGCCCAGCCUGCCGCCAGAGGUCUAAACUUACAACCAAUUUUUUAUCAACUUGUCACACCAGAUUAUUACUAAUAGUCAAAACUUUCAACAACGGAUCUCUUGGUUCUCGCAUCGAUGAAGAACGCAGCGAAAUGCGAUACGUAAUAUGAAUUGCAGAUAUUCGUGAAUCAUCGAAUCUUUGAACGCACAUUGCGCCCUCUGGUAUUCCGGAGGGCAUGCCUGUUUGAGCGUCGUUUCUCCCUCAAACCGCUGGGUUUGGUGUUGAGCAAUACGACUUGGGUUUGCUUGAAAGACGGUAGUGGUAAGGCGGGAUCGCUUUGACAAUGGCUUAGGUCUAACCAAAAACAUUGCUUGCGGCGGUAACGUCCACCACGUAUAUCUUCAAACUUUGACCUCAAAUCAGGUAGGACUACCCGCUGAACUUAAGCAUAUCAAUAAGCGGAGGAA
rnacentral:rRNA from 1 species